AAAAAUUUUUUUCUCCUCAUUCUAAUUAUAUUUAUAUAUGAUGAAACUUUUCACCAUCAAGAUCUCUGAGUGCCGUGAUUAUAUUCAGUAUUUGCUAGCUGAUUAAAAUAAACUCCAAGCUCAUUAAAUUAAUGAUUAAACAAUCGUAUAAUUAAUAUAAAACUUUAUUUGUUACAGAUAAUAAUCACCAGGAAAUGUAACUCGAGAACAAAAUUUUAUUAAGAUUCGACAAUUGAAUAAGAAAUGUCCAUAAAAAAACUAGUAAUAAUUAUGCAGAUUUCAAUCGGUGUCACAGAAGGCAAAUUUAUUACACAGAAAAAAAAGAAUUUAUCACCGCAAAAAAAAUUUUGCAUUAUCAAUUAAAAAAAAAAUUUCUUAGGAUUAGAAAAAAAUUUCUUACCGAAAAAAAAUUGUUUUCAUCACAAGAAAAUUUUUAUUUUCAAUUCAACCGGAUGUAAAAUUUUGCAAAAUUAGUUGAUGAGCUGCGAACGUCACGUUUCCUUAGAUCCUUCAACCCCCCUUGUCACUGUAAGCGACUCCACUCCUCCAUAAGUGCGAAUGUAUUUUAUGAACGGGCCCUAAUGCAGAAAAUUUUUUUGGAGCGAGUAAAAAUUUUUGAACCAAGAAAUCCUUUUUUUUAUAUGUAACUCAUCUGUCAUGGUUCAAAGGAUUAAUUGCAUUGAAAAAAAUUUCCUAGGUUUAUUCCCGUUGAAUAAUUAAUUUUAUCAAUUCUUGAAAAUAUAAAAAAAAUACGUCUGUUAUUAAAACUUAUUUUUAUUCUAAAAUAUAUUAUUUCCAAAUAAAGAAUAAAUCAUAUAUUAUAUUUUUA